rnacentral:rRNA from 1 species
GACGAACGCUGGCGGCGUGCUUAACACAUGCAAGUCGAACGGUAAGGCCCUGCUUUUUUGGGGUGCUCGAGUGGCGAACGGUUGAGUAACACGUGAGUAACCUGCCCUUGACUUUGGGAUAACUUCAGGAAACUGGGGCUAAUACCUGAUAGUAGCUCCUUCUGCAUGGUGGGGGUUGUAAAGUUUCGGCGGUUGGGGAUGGACUCGCGGCUUAUCAGCUUGUUGGUGGGGUAGUGGCUUACCAAGGCUUUGACGGGUAGCCGGCCUGAGAGGGUGACCGGCGACAUUGGGACUGAGAUACGGCCCAGACUCCUACGGGAGGCAGCAGUGGGGAAUAUUGCACAAUGGGCGGAAGCCUGAUGCAGCAACGCCGCGUGCGGGAUGACGGCCUUCGGGUUGUAAACCGCUUUCGCCUGUGACGAAGCGUGAGUGACGGUAAUGGGUAAAGAAGCACCGGCUAACUACGUG